rnacentral:piRNA from 1 species
UGAGGUGAAAGGAAGAGACAAAGACAGA